GCCUCGGUGGUGUAAUGGUUUAACACGCGUUCCUGGAUAGGAUGAAGCGCGUGUUCGAUUCCCGCCUAAGGUC